CUUUGCCCGCGGAGCAGGAAGCGGGAGCGGCGGGAGCAGCCCUGUAGGAAGGGUUCCUGGUUGCUGAACCUGAUGUAACUGCGCAGAUGGACCAAGGAGAAGAACAAGAAUACGAGGCCUUGGAGGAGACACAAAUGGUGAGGAACAAGUAAUGGCCAGAGAGAACCUAGAGAUGUUCCAAGGAUCCGUGUCUCCUGCUGUUACUUCUAGUGGGGAGUGAUUUUUAUCCCAGGAAAAACCAGCUCAAAUUUGUACCUGUUUCCUGCCCAAGCUUCCUGCAUUUUCCUUCACAGUAAGGCCACAGCCUGGGAUGACUGGUUCCCAUUGAAUCCACGUCUCCCAUGUGCCAGUMGUCUUGUUUUUAGAGGGUGUUUGCAUCUAUUUAUUUGAAAUCCCUGCAGCACUGUGCUGGGUGCCUCUGUGUGCAUGUUUUGGGCCCAGCUGAAGCUGCUUUGGGGCCAUGUCUAUGGAACAGUGUGUUCACUGGGUUGUGUCAUUGUUAAAUUGACAAUUCCACAAAUGAAGCUGCUGUCUGACAGCUCAGUUCUAAGCAGCAGUUAAGUAAAUUAACAUCCAAUAGGUAUUUCUCUCAGAGUCGUGUUCAGGUGCUUUUGUGGGUGGCACUUUAUGAAUGUUUUUAUAAGGCUUUUARAAGUAUUUAGGAUGACUUUUUCAAUUGUGUUUUAAUUGUCCGAUUAACUAAAAAUGAACAGAAAAUUGAUGGUAUUUGAAAAAUAAGCUGUGUCAAAUUGAUUUUAUAUUAAAUGUUAAGCAUUCUUUCUUCCAUAAAACUUUUAAUUUAAACACUACAGUUUUGAGCUGUUCAUGAUUACAAAGAGGUAAUUAUGAUUUCUCAACUGAUUCUGAGAAUUUCUGCAGUAUUUCUUGUGAGUGGUUUUGACAGUUUUAAUAAUGACUUUCUAAGGAACAUGAGGGAGGCAGGAUUCUGAGAAAGCAGAAGGAACUGACCUUUGAAGAGAUSUUCUUCACUCUGAGGAGGAGAAUACUACUACUGGAAGCCUGUCCUUAGCAGGAAUUCUAGCUCAGGCGACCGCUUGGUACGGGGGAGGAGGAGGGAACUGGCAGUAAUAACAAAGAUGUUAAUAUCUCUAGCGUGGAAGAACUGCCUGUAAUGAGCGUGGCAGUAUAUACUGAAAUGCCUGUUCCACCCACGAAGACAAACAGGGGAAGAAAUCACAGUGUGCUCCAGGCGAGAAAAUGAAGCCAUCAAAUCUGUUGUGCUGCAGAAUUUUCAUUUUCAGCCCCACACACGAUGCAAACGGUGAGCUUUCACAUGGGGGUGAGCUCCCAAACGGGAAAGAUCACCUAGGGCAAAGAGAAUGCCCAGCGUGAAGAGCACAGGAUACCAUGAAAACAAGCAAGCUGUGACCAGAAUAUGACUGGAAUUACUGGCUGAGUAAUGCAGACACAUCCAUCCCUCCCUUAGCCACCAGCUGCUGCCACAAAGGGCACAGGUUUUUGCUCCAUUGGCAGGAAAGCUGGUUUAAGUCAUUUGGUCUCUACUCCCACCUUCUUUCCAAGAGCUUCAGUUAAUACAGCUGAGCUGACUAAGUGUUCACAUGGCUGUACUUUUAAGAUCUAUAAGAUGAUCCAUGCUUUUUAAAUUACAGACUUUGGAGAGUUGAUUCCAAACUCCAUUAAUCCAAUCUAGACCACAGGCUAGAAAUGUACGACUGAGAGGCUUGGAGUCAGAGARCAGACAGGCCAAAAAUAAGAAAUAAAUAAUGUGGCCAGUAUUGUUGUUAGUUCCGAAGAAACACAUCAUUUAAGAUGUUUGUUGCUUUUCUUUCUUCCUUUUUUUUAAUGUUUCUAAGAAGGGCUAGGCCUGAAAAAGCCUGACACAUUGCCUUGGUUGCUGCUGCACUCCCAGCCCCAUCAGAAAGGCAUCCAUUGCCACCAGAGAAUGGAAACUACAAUUCAUUUCUAUGGUGUCCUUGCUGCACAUGCUGAUGCCAAAAUAUGUACUUAUUCUGAAGGGUAAUUCUGCCCCCACAAACUGACUGAAAAGAUGUCUCUUGCCUCAGAGCUGGAGCGUCAGCCAACUGUGUACGUUUGUGGAAUGCAGAGAGCAAGGUCAAGAACAGGAUGGUGACAUCUGCACAGUACAAGGUGCCAGGGGCACGGGAGCCAGGCAGUAUUAGCCCAGGUGAACUCUUUUGCUCUAAUGCUGUUYCUGUUUGUUUUCCAAAGUAGGCACAUGGAGAACCUGCUGCUGGGCACUCUUAGUCACUCAUUGAGGUACAGAAAGAGCAGGCGUCGGGUAAUUUUGAGAUCAGCCUCUUUCCAGAAAUGGCAGCCAAAACUGCUGUGAGGUCUUGCCUGCAUCUCUGCAUGACUUCUCAGAGGGMUGGCUGUCCUGUUCUAAAAAUGCCAGGUUGCCACCUAACCAGUGGCCUGGGCCACAUGUUGGCUUUGGUGCACCCUGUAGCCUGGUCUUCUCACUUGUAGCUYUUGCUGCAAGUGCCCCUCUGGGCAGCGUUGUUCAGCUGGCAGUCAGAGUGACUGAACCUGGGCUGUGGCAGACAAUUCUGCUCCAGAAUAUCCUAUACAUAGAAUAUAGUACACUAAUAGCUUAUGCAGAGCAGAUGGGCAGAGGCAGCAACCGGGUUCACUCCGGGGCUGUAUUACAGACGGGUGUAGGACAUAACCCAAGGGUCCUAACCAGCUGAGUAAGAUGACUGAUGUUCAUGCAGCAUUUUUGUGCUGACACUUGUUGAAGCACACCAGCGUGUUACCCUUCACUUGGCUUGGAUUCAGUGUUAAUCUGCAGGCAGCUGUUUCCCUUUCCCAGGCUCUCCCUACCGGCUGCUUCACAAACACGUGUUCUCCUUUAUUCACCUAAGCAGUUUGUCCACUAUUUUGACCAUGAAUUUUUUGUUUUUCUGAUUAACCUGAACAAGUUUAAUCAUGAAAUCAGUGUAAUUGAUUUAAACAUUAAUGCUUAAACAGGAAAUCAGUUAAGCUCAGCCGUAAGGGCAGCUUCUUUACUGAUUUGGUUGCGGAUAAAGUUGAGCUUUUCACARCAGUGCGUGGAUCUCAGAUCUCCUCAGCAACACUUGGGAUGCUAUCCACACUCUGCCUUUCAGAGAGCUUUGAAGCAGUAUGAAACUAGGCUUCUGCUCUUCAAACACUUUUUGAAAUGUGUUCUCUGCAUGCUGCACUUGCUUGAGUGUUGAACUUUUAAGACUUAGAAUUCUCUUGAAAUCCUCUAAAACCCCUUGUUGUUGGGAGCUCUUUAACUCCAGGCUCAUUGAUAUGAUGAGAGAAGUUGGUACACUUAGGAAUUGUUUCAUCUACAAUGCAGCAUCUUCUCUUAAUUAAGAAGUGUCUCUCAUCAGGAUGACAGGCUGUCUAUGGAGAUCUCUUGAUUACAGAGCUCUGCUACAAUAACUUUCCUUUUACAGCUACUCACAAGAACCAGCCUAGACUGCAUUUUACUGAAACUGAGGAGUGAAAUUUUCCAUUCAGGCACCAUAUUGGCCUGGACAGAAGGCACCCUCAGAUCUCCCUUCUGAGAAGUGAAGACAAAAAUUUAUAUAUAUAAAUAUUUCUAUUUUAAAAAAUACAUAAACCCAAACACAUUUCACCAUUUCCCUCCCCAAAUACUAAUUAAAACAUACCUUAGGCUCAGAGAGGCUGCUACCCACACAAGUUCUGUCACUCUGUUCAUGGGGUGAAGACUUAUUUGUGCAUGGGACCAAGUUCUCUCUGAGCCUUGGCAGCUCAGCUCCACACUGAUACAGGUUCCAAGUUGCAUCCAUUGGUUCUGGCUGCCAGAAUUGCACAUUGCAGUCUCUGUAAAUCAGCUGCACUGGGGGGUGUGUAUGCACUGUGGUSUUACAAAUUUGAGUAGUUUUACUUUCUCAGAAAUCCUGAGCACUUGACUGUGCUGAUACAAGCAGCUGUGACUGGCACAUAAGUGUGGUAAUGACAAAUACUGAUACUUAGGAAGGACAUGGCAGUGGGCAGUGUAUCUUUACACUUUUUACACACUUUACACAUCUUUUACACACUUUACACAAAGCUUUUAGAUUUUUGUGCUACUGUUUUACCUBGUCUUCGCCUUACUGGAUGUUAGCAACCUCACCAAAACUUGUAAUUCUAAGGUGAGUGGACCGAGGCCUGUAGAAACACAUAUUCUGGUUUUGCCAGGAAGCAGAGAGCUUUGAGAGACUAAAUUAAUUAAUCAUUUAGUAGGCUCUUGAGUGUAAAAUGCAACCAGUUGGAGCUCUGCCUCUCACUACCCUGGAGAACCUAUUCAGAGACAAGUGCACGGAGUGAUCUGCUGCUCAAAGAGAUGAUCUGAUAACUGGGACAUGAAAAUCACUCCCACCUGCUCUGGGGAGCUGAUGGAAACCAAUUUUACAUGCAAGCAGAAAGGAUAUUCUGUCACACAGCAGGGACUAAAUGCAAACAGUACACCUGCUGUAAUAAACGAUCCUAUGCCAUU